GGUCCUGUAUGGGCUACCAACUAAAAUUGGAACGAUACAGAGAAGAUUAGCAUAGCCCCUGUGCAAGGAUGACAUGCAAAAUCGUGAAGCGUUCCACAUUUUU